UAAGCAAAGGACCGUUUUUAACCCUCCA
rnacentral:piRNA from 1 species